UCAAGUCUAAGAUUUUUUUUUUCCAGUACACUAAAAAAAUUCAUUUUGAAAAGAAUUCUUCAAAUUAUUAUCUUUUUAAUCCAAGAUUAAUCUUUUCUUUUUAGUCCCAAACAUAGGAAUGAAUUGUUUAUUUUUUAUUUUUUCUUUUGCACUGUGAAAGAAAAAUUCUUUGAUAAACUUAUUGACUUGGAAUCGUGUUCAGAUUCAAUCAAGGAAAUUGAUUUUUCUUCUACAAAGGGUUUUUCGAUGGAUUUCUAAGUUUUGAUAUGAUUCAAUCAAAGAAAUUGAUUUUCUUCUAUAAAGGGUCUUUGGAAGAUGGAUUUUUGAGUUCUGAUACGUCUCUAUUGCAGGGAAAUAAUGGAUUUUGUGACAACAAUAUAGUUUACCAAAUGCAUAGGAUUAACAAGAUCAAGGACUGUUGAUGCGCUGUUACACUGGUGGACUGGUUUUGAUCACAAAAAACUUGAAUGAAUGUGCUCAAAACAUAGGGAAUGAAUGUGUAUUUCAAAGUGUACAACCAAACUUUGCGUUAAGAGAACUGGGUGAUUACAUGAAAGGCCUGGCAACAGUUUAACUGCUUCUACUUGCUGUUUAAGCUUGGUUGUUGUGUGUUGCAUUCAUUGUUGGUAUGAGUUGAAUCCUUAUCAACUCUGUUUGUAUUUGUUUGUUUGCUGCUAGGAGUGCACAUGAUUGGUCCAUCACUAGGUGCCAACACAAUUGGGAUGAGGUGUUUUGGACAAUGAUGCAAUUUUUUUUCCUCCUAGAUCAUUGUAAUAUAUUCUCUCUUUCUUUUGCCGCUCAAAAACAAAUCUGUGGAAUAACCUUGGUUAUGUUACUGUUAAUCUUUUCAGCAACCAUUAUGAAUUGUUUUUUCCCUCUUGCGAAUAUUUGAGUUUAUUACGAACUUUUUCUUUUCUUUUUCAUGUCUGAGCAAGUAAGCGAAUCAAAACUACAUGCCAAGCUAAGAAGGCUUCCGUCUGGAAUGUAGUCAGUUCACUGUGAGGAUCACCCUUCCAAUUCUACGAGUGUGAAAAUGACCUUGGUUAUUUUGUCACAUUUCUUUUUUCUUUUUCGAGUCAAUUCACCAUGAGGAUCACCCUUCUGAGUCUACAAGUGAAAAAUGUCCUUGGUUAUUUUGUUACACUUAUUUUUGAGUAUUACCAGUUAUGUUUAUCUCUUGUGAUAUAUUGAAAUUUAGAGAGAAAUUCUCUUGCAAUUGUUUUCCACUAAACAGAUAGCUCAAUUCUAAGUUAGUUUAUAUGUACAUAACGUUUUUCUCUCCGUAUAAUUUUCUACUCUAGACUUAAUAUGUUUAUAAAUUUCAGUUCUAAACACAAAUGUAAUGGGCACU